GGCGAACCGGGGGAACUGAAACAUCUAAGUACCCCGAGGAAAAGAAAUCAACCGAGAUUCCGAAAGUAGCGGCGAGCGAAAUUGGACUAGCCCUUAAGCUUUACACGCGUUAGACGAACGGUCUGGAAAGUCCGACGAUACAGGGUGAUAGUCCCGUAGUUGACGACGUGUGUUCAGUGAAAUCGAGUAGGGCGGGACACGUGAUAUCCUGUCUGAAUAUGGGGGGACCAUCCUCCAAGGCUAAAUACUACUGACUGACCGAUAGUGAACCAGUACCGUGAGGGAAAGGCGAAAAGAACCCCUGUG
rnacentral:rRNA from 1 species